UGCGCCAGGCCCUGCCGUACCUGGAGAGCCCAGAGGAGCCCCUGCGAAAGCUGGCCAUCAAGUUCCUGGGGAUCGCUGCCAGGUCCAUGAAGCAGGAGCAGCCAGAGCUGCAGCUCAUCUGCCAGGCCCUUCAAGGCAUGACUGAUGACAGCCCUGCCGUCUCAAACCUGGCACUUCAAACGCUCCACAUCAUCAGAGCUGUACGGAGAGCUCCAUUCUUCCGAUUCUGGUAGUCUCCAUUCCUGCCUCUUCCAACCCGUAGAGGCGUGACAGGUGACAUCAGACUCGCCAUGGCAGGCCUGGCAAUUCAA